UUAUUUGUGUCAGGCGACCUCACUUCCUUCCUCCCCCCUCUUCCUCUGCCUCAGGGGCUGAGCGUGGACGCGGGAGCGCGGCCAGAGGGUUAUUUUAGUGCUGGCAUCGCUGAUCGCUCCACGGCCCUCCCCACCCACGGGACAAGGCCCUGCAGGAAGUGCCCGGGAAUAGCACUGCGGCCCGAGGAGGAGGAGGAGGAGGGGGAGGAGGAAGGCCCAGCGAGCCUGGAAAACCUACCUCGGAGCAGGUGACACCAAUGGCACCUGGCUGCUGGGACAUCGGGGCACGGGCUCCCCGUCCUCCCCGGGGAGAAACCCCCCCUGGAAGCAGCCGUGUCCAAGGAAUCGGCCGAAUUCCCAUGUGGAGCGCUUCCUCUGCCAAUUAACUUCUCUCCCAGGGGAGGAAAUGAUACGAGUUUCUUUUAAUAGGACUUUGAUCUCUUGGGCUCCACACAGGAGUGCUCCUGGCGCUGGGAUCUCCAGUGGUGUGGGAAAGGGCACACGGCAUUUAUCGGGCAAACACCUUUUUUACCUCUGCCAGCCCACACGGGGCAUUUGGAGGAAUAAGUCACAGGAUAUCAAUACCUUCUUAUUCAUCUAACCAGCCUCCAUGGGAAGCUGGAGCACUGGAAUUAUGCAGCUCCUGGUCAGGUAGGGCUUUUCCUCAGUCAGUGCAGGUGUUUCAGUGAGUAUCUCCACACACUGGGUUGGGUACACCCAGCCCAGAACCACUGUCAGUCAUGAACCUGCUGGAAAAUCCACUCAAUUAUUGAGGAAUCACACUGAAAGCACCACCAACCUGCACUUUGUCCAAAGGGACUUGGAUGCCACAGGCUCCAAUCCCUCCUAGCUGAUGUUUACAACCUGGUGCUGACGCUGUUUCAUCUUCCAGGGCACACACCCUGCCAAGUGAUGGGGAAACACUGAGGGCACUCCAGCAUUUAUUCCCACCUUUGCUAACCUGGGUUGGUUUGCCCUCCUCAGCUUCUGCGUGUACACCUGUCCCUCACCCUGCUCCACCCCCGGUGACACCAGGCUUUUCUCCAGGGUUUUGGAGAGGAAAAAAACGAAAGUAUCUCCAAAAUGAUAAGUCCGAGUAGCCAUUACUAUGAAAACUGGAGAAGGAAAUAAUUAAGGAGACUCUGAACUCCUGGUAACAAAGUUUCACCUGGCCUCCUGGCAUUAGUGACAGUGCAGUGCGCUCUCAAAAGUGAAAAUUAAAUGUAUUAAAUUCUGUUACCACCAGAACCAGUUCCUAAUUUUAUUUUCCCUAUGAGUGAACAACUCAGAUGAAAGGAGAAUUCUUCCCUUUCCACCUUCCAAAACAACACAGUGAG